rnacentral:rRNA from 1 species
UACGUAGGGUGCAAGCGUUGUCCGGAAUUAUUGGGCGUAAAGAGCUCGUAGGCGGUUUGUCGCGUCUGCUGUGAAAUCCCGAGGCUCAACCUCGGGCCUGCAGUGGGGUACGGGCAGACUAGAGUGCGGUAGGGGAGAUUGGAAUUCCUGGUGUAGCGGUGGAAUGCGCAGAUAUCAGGAGGAACACCGAUGGCGAAGGCAGAUCUCUGGGCCGUAACUGACGCUGAGGAGCGAAAAGCGUGGGGGGAGCGAAACAGGG